UUAUAAAUUGUAACCGUACUAAAAAAAAUGAAAAACAACAAUGAUUGCAACUGCUUCUGUGAAAGAUAUUUGUAUGACAAAAUUGUGGGUUAAAUUGAUUUUUGAGACAAUUAACCUAUCGAAUUCAUUUUUUCUACAUUUAAAAUUAUUUGUAAAAUUUAUUUUUAUUAGUUAACAAACAUCAAGUACAUCAUGUGCUACUGACUUCAAAUUGUUCUCGAUACAUACAUAUUGGUUAAUCUAAUUUUAGUUAUUACCCAUACAUCACAUACUGUGAUACAGAGCAUGGUUUGCUCUUACAUGUACUAAACACAACACAUGUUUAUACUUCACAAAGAGCAUAUCGGACAUGUCCGAGGCAGUAACUUUUAUUUUUGCCAAAUUAAUACUUUCUUCAUUCAUCUGUUAGGCAAAUCAAGAAUUUGUACAAAUCCUUUAGUACAGUUAUGAAUUUCUAUCACAUUUUUUUUUAUUGAGCUGAGGUCUAAACAUUUUGUUAACAAUAAAUCACGGUUCAUCUUGUAUAUGUAUCAUAUUCACUUUUACCACACCCCUUGAUAGAAUAAAUUUCAUACUCAUGUAUUUCUUGUUUAUAUCUCUAGGUGCUGCAACCUUCAUGACAAUUGUUAUGGAAGAUUACAGAAUUAUGGAUGUCGUCAUGUGCUACUAAGUAAAUAUGACUGGACACUGGUUAAUUAUCAGAUUGUGUGUCCUUAUGUAACCACUUUGAAGGCAAGGACCAUUCCUAAGACACCAAAAUCAAUCUCUGACGGAAUACAAGAAGUGGACAAGGAUUUCUGUCACCAAGCAACUUGUGAAUGUGACAAAAAUUUGGCAUACUGCCUUGGACAUUAUAACAUUUAUUAUAAUAAGGAACUUCAAUCAAAAUCUAAGUUACUGCAAUUCAUUCAUA